GCCGUGCAAAUGUGAAUACUGCCAAAUAGCAGUGCUUAGGGUAAAAUGAACUGUUUUGCUCCAUUUUCUCCUCUCUGAACAAAUGAUUUUGAAACGACAGCUUUUUUUUUUGAGCUAUAAAAUGUCAGGCAAUAACUCCCUGCGCUUUAGGCAAGUGAUUGGAAUAAAUACCUCUUGGCAACAGGUGCAAUGACUUAGGACUGAAAUUCAUUUGCAUUCAGGAGAUAAUUCCCGAUAAACAGAUGCACUGCCACAGGAUGGAAGUUUGAACGACCGGCAUCUGAAUGCUAUUGCCUGCUUCUGCAUCAUUCCAGAGCUUUUUAGACCUGAAAUCAACAUUCCUCAUCUUCCUGCUAAUUGCUUCAAGGCAAACUGUGCCAUGGAUGACACGGCUCCUGCUGUCUGCCGCCCAAGAACGCACAGCGCUGCCCGACUGCAAAGACCUUUCUGGUGCCAGGGCUGGGACUUCCAGCACAACCUAAACAUUAACUCAAGAAAAAAAAGUCAUUCUGGCAAGCACGUCUAUUAAAAGAUUACAUUGGCACAGUAAGAGCUUCUGAUACUGCACAGAAGUCUGGAGUUCACAGCACUCAGCUCUUCUUUCAGGGAAACCCAGCAACCAGCGCGCAGCCAGCCCGCGCCACAGCCCGGCAGACAAAACCCCACUGUUCAGUCGGGGUAAAAUUAGGCAGGAAGCGAUCAUUUCAAAAAUAUUCUCCUGCAGCUGUAUUCUUUGCCAUUUUAAGUACAUACUGAUUGUUUUCAUUUAAGAUGCUGGGAGGAGGGGACAUCUAGAGAAAAGGGAUUAUUUAGUGAAGGAAAUUGUUUUCUAGUAAGAAACAUCUUCCUCGUUUUUUUAAGUCAUUCAUAAAAAUGGGAUUAACUCAAAACAAGGUACAUGAAGGUAUGUAUGUUCAUUAUUUGAACCUCAAAAAAGAGGCCCAAAGUCCUUAAGAACAGACUUGACCAUUUAAAUGUGCACAUAAAUUACACUGAAGCAAGGCAACUAUUUCAUUGAAUAAAUUAGGUCUGAGGGGUGAUUUUUAACACUGGUUUCUAGACUUCAGUUUCUCAGACAUACCGUUUCAUAUUUUAUUUACUUGGCUGAAAUCUGGAAGCCUGUCUUUUACAAAACAGAAAUACGAAAUGCUAUUUUAAAAAAGCUUUUAGAAAUAUUAAGUAACUAAUGGUGGCUUUUUAGUAAUAGUUUUUGCAUUUUAUUACAUUGUGAUUUAGUCUUCAAAAAUUUUAGAAUUUCAAAAAUCUUUGUCAAACAUUAGUGUUUUUUCCAGAUUCAGUGGAAGCAGCAGAAUUACAACAGUAAGUAAUCUUCUGUAAUUAUAUACUUAAUAUUCAGUGUACAUAAACAUAAAGCAAGGUUUGUCUGACUAAUGAAAUUCAGGACAGAAGCCUGAGUUACGCCCUCUGACUCACACCAGGACGGGUCCUGCCUUCCAGGUUCACUGAAACUUAUUACAAUUUUCCUUUUACUUUUUCCAGUCUCCAUGCAAUUCUCAAAAACAUCCCUGUGAGGCUCUCUUCAGCAAAAAAAGAGUCAGGGCUUACCUGCUUUCUGCACCUUGUUGAAUGAUUCAGCAAAACCUAAAGGGAGCAGCAGCAUCCCUGCCUUUUAACGUAACAGCGUUGAUCCUUCCUGCGUACAGCUGGCAAGGACCUCAUUUAAAUUCUCCUAAAGAGCUCUCACUCCUCAUUCAGAAGGGUGAGAACACGUCUUUCCAAGGUAGCUGAAUUAAGGGGUAUUUUUGAUUGUGUUUUUGUUGGUUUUUGUUGUGGGUUGUUGGGUUUUUUUUUUAAAUAGCAGGAGAGAAAUUAGCUACAUUGGCAGACCUGCAGACCGAAGUCCUUCAGUCAUCCAGAACAAGAACAACCCAGACAGCAGCCGUGCACGCAUCCCCACAUUAGCCCAUCAUGCCUCAACCCUAUUUUGAAGGAAUCACCACUAUGGGAAAAGAGAUAGUUUGGUCUUCAUGCCCAUUUAAUCCUUCACCUCCCUGCUGAGGCUGCCACAAGAGUGCUAAUUAACGCUAAACUGUGAAAAUGGGCUUCUGCACUUUGAAUCCAGCCACGCUGAAACUGGAUAGAAACCACUAAUUCCUUUAAUGAAAGUCACCAAACCAGAGCCUGGUUCCUGGCAGCAUUUUAGCAAUGCCUACAUAUGGCAGAUGGAAACCAUGUGAUCUAAACAUGAAAGUCUAAAUAUCUAGUGUAAAAAUAUGCGUGUUGUUCAGUUCUCACUCAGAACCAAAUUUUCUUCUCAUCUGCAUGCACCUUCCCCAUCGCUUUCAGUGGGAGCUGUAUGCACGAGAGCAAAACUUUGCCCUCUUGAUCUAAAAUUAUCCCAGUUUGAAAGAGUAUUCAUCUGUCAAUGAUAUUUCUUUUCUUUUGCCAGCCAGAUGUCUGUUCUCAGGCUGCAAGAAUCUCCUUCCUUUUUUCCUUCACAUCACACACACUUGAUCCUCUGCCAGCUCACAGAAAGCACUCUACCCUUUCUUUCUUGCCAUUAAAUACAUUGCAUCUUCAAAAUUUCUCAAGGCAAAUAAGUCCCAUGGUCUUUGUAAAUCCCCCUCCUGGAGGUUAUCUCCAGUUUACCAACUGUGAACUCUCUGAGCACACCACCUGUCAGGAAGGAGAAGCUUCUGAAUCAGAAACAACCUCUGAAAUAGGGAGGUAAGACACACAAAGGCUGAUGUGUCAGAAAAGUUGUGUCAACAGGAUUUCCCGUUGAAUUAUUUCCUCUGCACGGGAUGCUGGUAGCAGAAUAAAAAUAAAUAUUCUUUUAUUUUCUAUAAAAAUGUAUUUUGACAACAAUUUAUGUUUCCAGUUAUCUCAAUCAUUUUUGAUUGGAAGCCAUGCGUUGCGGAGGGGCAGGAGAAACGGAAGAGAGGCCAUAUGAUUUCCAUCAGCAGUAUUCAGAGUCAACGGCUGACAAAAGAAAUGUGCUUUUCUUCCCAUCUUUAAGAAACCUAAAGCUUUGUCACCUCAGAGGUUGGUAGAAACCAUGCAGAGAUGUACCAUUUCCUUGGGACUACGUGCCCUGGUGAAAGUUAAAUCACUCGAGCAGGUGACAGGUUGGUUGCCAAUAACAAGCCUUGGGGUUCUGUGUACAUCGCCUCCCUAAGUACAUUAUGCCCUAACCUGUUUAAGAAAGCAAAACACUUAAUCUCACUAAAAUGUAGAAAUUGGACUCUAAUAAUUCUGGCUCAUUUUAAACAAAAUGUUAUUCUUAAAAAGCCAAAUACCAAAUACAGGCUUAGUGCUAAAAGAUUGUCACAAAUUUAAUUAAAAAUAUUGUGUGAUUUCUACCACAUGAUAAUACUUGAGAUCGCAGUUGUAAAAUUACAAAGAGGGUGUUUUCUUGUUUAAAAACAGAAUUAUAUAUACAUUAGAAAUUGAAUCAAGCAACAAUGUAAGAGUUCAUAUACUCUCUUUUGUUUCCAUAAAAUGAUGGGGUGGAGUCAACUGUCACAGUAUAAUUUACAGUGGAAAAACUAUGUGGUUAAUUUUAAUGACAGUCAAGCCACUUAAAGAGUGCUUGUGAGUAUGCAAAUAGCAGAGCAAGUCCCCUUUACAUUCAAUAUAGCUUUCCAAACGUGUCUGAGGAUGCGGGAGUAGAAAGAAGAACCCUUGGAAACAUAAAGGCUCAAGAUCCUGCAGAUGAAACCUCUAAACCAAAAUACACAGUCAUACCUUUUGAAAACAAGGAGAAGAGCAAUGUGAUAAAUGUACUUUAAGGUAAAUGUGCCGUCACUUCAAAUAUUCCCACAAAUAGAUAUGAGACAAGAGUAGCAAGCAAUCUCGGAAAAUGCCUGUCAGAGUGAAAGGCUGUUGUCCUGACCUUACCUUCCAUGAAGUAUUUGUGGAUUUCUAAAAGACUAUUAUAGAGAGGAGAGGGAUAUACCGUACGUAGUUUUUACAACGUACUUAAGGUUCUGGCGCAUCCUGGGAAUCAUGGAAUAAUCCUACGUAGAUACUUGAGAGCAUCUGCUGAAUAAUAAAUUGCGUGAAGAAAGGAAAACUAUUGAAUUGUUUAUAAAUAUAUAGGUAAUUUUAAAAGUCCUAAGGAAUAUCCGCGGUUCUACCACGCUCCCUGGGCAGCAGGGAGUAAGAACAGCAACACAGUUACCACUUCCAGAGUAAAUAAAGGAAACAUACACCUCUGCUACCCUGUCAAACUGCUGUUAGUCGCCUAUAAAGGAACUGCAUAUCCAUAUGCCUUACUGCAAACAUGAAAGACAAGGGAGAUAGAGGGACGGGAUAGCUAAAUUCCACCUGGACUCAAAUUCAGGGCUUCUGAAUUUGGAUUCUGGUUUUUCAUCCUGGAAUUUGUGUGUCCCCCCUCAACUGCCACGAUGUGGAUGCAAGACUGCUCUCAGCUU